CCGUGUCUGCAUCUACGAAAUGGAAGCAAUCCUUGCCCCACUUGGAGGACUCUGGUUGAUGAUGCCUUCCAGAGUUAGAUCUGGGUUCAAAACCCACCGUGGCCACAUAUCCGCCGACCUCGGCACCUGCUAGUCCAAAUUCCACUUUUCCUCUGGGACCCAGCUCACCGCACCCCCCCCCCCCCGAGAAGUCUGGGUCACUGGUCCGACUACACCUCCAUCUUUGUCUCAAGACAGUGCUAUGACUAGCCCGUGCACGCCAGUGUUCAUAGAUCCAGACUGCUCAAGUUCGAGGCCCAAACCUGGAAAGUACUUCUGGGGGUCGUUAAGAGCAUCCGAGGAGACCCUGCACCUGAAGUGGUCAGCAUGCUUGGCGCCUUGAACCUGCUCAGCUGAGGUCACACUGUGUGGAGGGAGAGCCCAGGGAAGAAGUCACCACUGUCACCUGAGGUCCGAUCCCUCAACGCCUCAACAAUGGAUUGCUGAUGCAUGCACCAGGGCCCCCUCUGUGUUUUUUAGGAGACACGGCUGUGCAACACGAUGACUCUCUCCACUCCCCCGGCCUGGCUUGUUUCUACGGCAGAAGUCCAUGUGGGGUCCAGAGCUGCUGCACCUGCCGACUGUGAUGGACAGAUGUGGGGCAGGCAUCAUGACUCUUCCCAGGACAAACGGGCAGUCUUAUGUAUGUCGUGGAGACGUUUGUCCCUGGAGUCUUGAGAUCGGAGUUGAGAAGCAUGACUUCUUGAAGAAUCUGGAGGGAGCAGAAGUGAGAUUUGGAGUCCUGCGCUCUCAUCAUGAAGAGACUUCCAGGAGUUCCUCGGCCUCCCUGGGUGUUCUCCAGGUCACACGGCUCCUGGGUCCGGCCCAGCAACAUGUCCUCUGUCUUAGCCAUGACGCGUGCAUGUGGCUUCUCUCAGGAUUCCCCGAAGCCUGCUGUGAGAGCUCAGGACAGAUUCCCAUGUGGAAUAUGGGGUGUAGGCCAAACUACUUGGAACACUGAGCUCUUCUCCAAAAGCACUUAGUUUUCAGUGGGAAGCUGCCAGGGUGCCUUGUUCAAAACGGGCUUGGACCUUGCGGGAUCGUUCCAACGAUUGUUCUCAAAGAGCCCUCUUAGGACCGUGUGAAGGUAAAGUGCAUGCAUGGAGGGACCUUGUCUUGCUCAUUUUGCUCAUCUCCGAGGGGCUUCCAGCAGUGCCUGGCUGGGGGGCGGGAGACAUUUAGAGCCUUAGGUUGGUUGCUGAGCUUCUUAGCACUGCAACGGGCAGCGCUCUAAGCCGGCAAGCGCGCCCCAGAUGGUCCAGACACUGUCAUUUCUGGUGACAGGGCUGGUUCUACCCAGUGGAGGCUGGGAGGCUUGUGGGUAAACUGCGAGCCAAAAGGCCACCAACCUUCCUCCUUACCCUUCAGUAGAUGCCCAAACUGGAGAGACGAUAUUAGGUUGCCCCAAGGUCAGCUUCCGGGGCGAAAUCAGCCAAGAUGCUUGGCAGCUUUCCAGCUUCUGUAUAGUAUUCCCAGGUCAGUAGCAGGUGCCAGCCCUACCAAGCGACUGCACAGCAACGUCACACGCUUGACUCGGGCCUCCCCACCCAGACCUCACUCAGGCUUCAGCCUGGUCAUCACGCCCUCCGCCCACCGCAGCUUGGGUCAUAUUUGCUCUAAGAUGUUGCUUUUACCAGGAAUGAUGGUACAGCCUCAAGGUCUGUUGCUGCAAUUUCAGUGAGGCCGUGGGGACGGUCAUUUAAGUCCAGAGCUGCACUAUCCCUAUGACUGCCGCAAGCCAGCGUACAGCAGUGGAAAUGGAAAGGAAUUAAAAUGAAAUGCAAUUAAAAUUCAGUUUUGCAUUCAUACUAGGCCACAGCUCAAGUGCUCAUGGGACUCAAGUAGUCACACAUGGCUAGUGACGCCCCUUCUGGCCGGCACAGAAUGGAAGAUGUGCGUCACAGUGGGAAGUUCUAUUGGGUAUCACUAGUCUUGAGUGCCCAGAGCCCAGGGCUGCGCGCCCAGCUGAUGAGCGGCAAGCUGUCUUCCCAGGGGUGCUCAGACUCAGUGGCACCUGUCACAGCUCCUCUGCACCAUGACUAGGAGAACUUUUCCCACCGUCGCUGGGAAAGGAGGGGAACAGUGUCUCUGCUCCUACACUUGUUAAUGCAGAGUCACAGGGCAUCCCUACUUGUUACAAGGUUGCAUUAGGUGGAACCACAUGAAAUUGCCUUGUUUGUAGGUUAGAAUGGGUUGAAUGGCAUCAAUUUUGUAAGGCUCAACUUCAUAUAAGAGGAAGGGGAAAGAGUGACAGAGAUUCAGGGCCAGGAGGAGCAUCUGUGGCUUUUUCCUCUUUUAGUCCUGUCUUUGAAUGCCAUGGGUUGAUGAGAGAGAGUUUGAUCUCAGCAAAGGGUGGUUGACUGACAGCCUGUUUGUUCCUUAUGUGCCACUGCUGCAUGAGGAGAAUUGCCUGUGUGUCCGUGGAGUGUAGUGGAAUAGUUUGGAUGUGUAUAGCUCUAAGACCGUCUGCUUUGUGCAGAUGGUUAUCCUAACCAGCAGCCAAGGGAUGGCCAUCCUGAAGCUGGGUCAGUAGCUCUAGGACAUUAGGGCUCUGGUUUGGCGUUUCUGCUCUUCUCCUGGCCUUCCCCUCUCAGUUCACAAGGUGGCUGCAACAGCUCUAGCCAUCACGUCCCCGUACAACUGUGCCCAGAGGCAGGUGCUGGGAGUGGGCCAGGAUAGCACGUGGGCUCUCUGUACAAACCCUCUUACUUUCAGAGAGGAAAAUCUUUCCCCAAGCCAUAUGUUACAGCAGAUUUUCUCUCUCACUUAUUGACCAGAGCUUGUUAUGAUCCCAUCCAUGAAAUAAUAUGUUAAAAGAGAAUAUGUUUAUUAAUUUUGAUGUGGUGAUUUAUGCCCUGACACCAGGCACAUUGCCAAGCAAACAAAAUUGAGAUUCCACCAGCUGGGAAGAAGAGGUAGCAGGAAUGGACCCGGGGUGGGCAAGUCAUAGCAUUCCCCACAAGUUAUUAACACAUUUCCAGUUCGUCAAUGACUUCGUUUGCACCUGCCCCACAACCACUCUGCCUCUUUCAGGGAUGCACGCAGCUUUCCUUUGGGUGUGGAGGGUGGUGGGCGAGGAUUCUGCCCCCAUCAUUCUAAGCGUGGGAAAGUGAUCCAGGCCAGGUGGUGGGGUUCAGUGUCAAGACUUCUGUCUGAGUUUUGGGAAGAGACGUGUUUGCCUUACCAUGGGGUGUCUUAGAAUGUAGCAUGCCAGCCGGACUGACUGCUGGCUGUCUGACGAAUAAAUCAGUGAAGCUAACAUGGAGGAGAGGGAAAUGGAAGGUGGUGAGAGACGGGUCCAGAUGAAAUUGCUGGACAGAAUUCUGCCUGGACCCUUCGGUUACAUGACCUGGUUAGACCACCCUCCAUGAUUUGCUGUGUUCUGUUGCAUCUGUAAGCUCAUCUGAGCCAUGGAAGAUUCCUGCUGGGAGUUAGUGUCUAGCAGUGACUUCCUGCUGGAAGUUCCCAGUGAGUUUCUAUGAAAAAGAGAUUAACUUUUCUCAAUUUGUCUAUUUGGGAGAGAAAAAGAAGAAACAUCUGUCAUUGGUUAAAAAAAGGCCCUUUCUGCCGUUGGUAGCUGAGAUCCAGGUAACGCUGUGCUUUGUAGGACAGGAAGCAGCGAGUUUUCUGUCCUACAAUGAAGGUCAUUCUGGAAGAAGCAGGAAGACCAGAAACAGAGCAGAAGAUAAGACAGACCAACGAAGGAGCCACGGCCACUCGUCCUCUUGGCCAUCAAAGACUGUACUGCAGAGUGAAGAGCUGUAGGACCCAAGAUGCCAUAGCCCAUGUAACACACAAACACCUUAUGUCUGGAACUCCUGUAACUAAACAAGAGAAGAUAACCAGUCCCAUAGCAAAGCGGACAUUUCACAAGAGGGGAUAUGCAAAUCAACAUGGAAAGAUGCUCAGCCUCACUUGUCAUCAGGAAAACACGAUGGUGGCAGUAGGAGACCUCAGUACAUCUUCCACCAGAAUCCCUUUGGGGAGAAACCGAGGCCUUGCCCCUGGAGCACAUGCUGGAGCAGUCUGCUCGUGGGACAUGAGCAGGGACUUAGCAGAACAGAGCAGUCUUUCCUGAGAAGAGUUGAAUGUGCGCGUAUCUAAGCAAUUCCACUCCUGGGUACAUGUGUGGUUUUAGCGAUGUUGUUUGUGACAGUCCCACACUGGAAAGACUAAAUGUCCAUCAACAGUACACUGUGCAAAACACUAUACACCAAUGAACAGAAGCCAACUAUUACUACGUUCAACAGGAAUGGAGCUCACAGGUCCAAGGAGUUGUGCAAGCCCCUGAUACAACUCCCUAAUCCUGACAGAAAGAAAGUACCAUUUCUUCCAGGAGGAGACUUGGCUGUCCUGGUGUUACAAGAGCAUCUGCGAAACGGCUGUUGGGUACAACUGUGGACUCUGCCUGAUGGCUAUCACGGAGGCAGCAAGCCCUGGGAGAGGGGACGAUUCUGCUGAGACAGGGGUGGACACAGGAGAGCCUGGUGGGCAUCUUGCUAGUAGCCACUCGGGCCAGAGCACUACUUUUAGGAACGCUUUUCCUGCAGGCCUGUGACGGUGUGUUAGUGGGAAUUUCAUGUCAAGUGAUUCCUGAAAAGACUUUUAAAGUCAUAGAAAAUUGACCUUGAUAUAAUGUUAAGCAAUGAAAACAGGUCAUAACACAUAGAGUUUAUAAAAAAUUAUAUGUAUGGAUAUAUGUGUGCACACACACGUGUACACACUUAUCUGUAUCUACAUGGAUAUCACGCAAAGCACAUUCACAUACACACACACAUACAAAUGCACACCCCCACAGAUACACAGAUGCACACAUACCACAUGUGCAUGCGCACACCACACAUUCACACACACGUACCACACACACACGCUGUGCGCAUGUGUGCACAUGUACACACACCACACACUGCAUAUUCAUGCACACACAUACAUGUAUACCCAUGCACACAACACAUGCACGCACACACAUCACAUAUGCACAAUGCACACACACCACACAUUCAUGCACACACACAUGUGCACGAACCACACACAUGCACACAUGUACUCACACAGGUACACAUAUACACACAUGCACACACAUGUACACACACAUCACACAUGCACACACGGCUAACAGGAAAUGCCCCGUGUAAAUAGUGGUUUCCUUUAUGUCAUAGAAUUAUAGGUGAUUUGGAUCU